GCAAUUUACAUAGUAGACUACAAUGGAGUAGAGUACAAUAAUCAAAAAUCCUAUAAAUAUCACUGUUUAAAAUACAGUAGGUACAGUCAGUGUAAUGUAAUCUUGUAACUAUCCUGCUGACAUCUGAUUGAGAUUAUUACCUUCUUUCCAUGUAGUAGCCUAAUAUGUGAUCUUACAACUCUGGUAACUAAAACUGGAGACAUUUGCUACUUUGUGCUACCUGCUCAUUCAAAAUUACGAAAUAACAGCAGGGAAAUUAUGUUUGUUUUUACAGGUUAUUAAAAGAAUGACCCAGGUUCCUGAGGAGCUGACCUGAAUGACCAUUAUGGCCUCAAUCCGUUGUGCCUCUAUAUUCUUUGCAAAAUGCAAUGAAUAUUUACAGAGCUGACCAUGGCCGUUUGAGAGUCAGAGGAAUGGAAAGGCAAUGAAGUGACUUGGCCUACAGGUCUUUUGUGAGCAGGAGCUGGGGUUUCCUUAGAAGAAGCGUCCGUGUCAUGAUCCCCUUGUGUGUGGUGCUACGCAUAUGGAGGGAGCUUCCGGAUACUUCAGGGCAGUACGUUGGAUUCAGACCCCUUUUCGACUGAACCGUGACACAUGUUCAGCAACAGCAUCCUCCAUGGAAGGUCUGUCAAGCUGAGCACACAAGUCCUGGGGCACAGGAAUCCGCUGGACGGCAUCCCAAUAAGGAAGAGGGUCUUUGAUGAUCUCGAAGAGGACAAGAAAGAGGACUUAUAUUGGAUACUGUAAUACAGUGCAUUGUAGGCUGUAUACUGUACAAUAAACAAAUUGUAUGGCCCUGAA